AUAGGCGGUUAUGAUCCUGAUGUACGAACCUGGGGAGAAAUGGUUGCCACGAAAACAACUUUUGUAUACGAACUUGCCAGCAAGAAUUGGACCAGAAUGGGGGACAUGCGUUGUGCACGAUCUCACCAUAGCCUAUUAGUUUUUAAUGAUGUUUUGUAUGCUAUUGGAGGAAGAGAUGACAUUGGCAGACUGGUAUCUUCUGUUGAGUCUUACGACCAUGAAUCGAAUGAAUGGACCAUGGAAAAGUCCAUGCCUUCACCACGAAUGGGAAUGGCAGCAGUUGCUCAUGGAGGGUACAUUUGGCUUCUGGGUGGACUUACGUCGAUGACAACGGAAGAACCUCCAGUGUUGGAUGAUGUUCUUUGUUAUGACCCAGUCUUCAAACAUUGGGUAGAUGGCCGGCCAUUGAGAAUUGGCAGGGCUUUUGGGAAUGCUGCUGUGUGUGACAACAAAAUCUGGUUGUGUGGAGGCGCAGCUCCUUCUACAGAUGAAAAUAACUAUCUUGUAAGUGUACCAGCUAUAGAUGUGUAUGACGAAGAAACUAUGGAAUGGAAACAAAAAACUUCAUUAGGAUGUCCUCGACAUUCUGCGAUAGUUGUUGCAUUAGAAUCCUGUCUUUACAUUGCUGGCGGGGUUAAUAGCCACGAACUGAGCGCUACUAGUCGAAAUGAACUCUAUAUGGUAGAUAAUGACACCAUUCAAACUGUCAGGGAGUUGCCUAUUCCCCUGACAGGAAUGGCUGCUGUUACAAUACCACCCAAAUGUGUAACAUUCCGAAGUGAAAGUCUAAGCAUCAUGAUACGUCAUAAAGUCACGCCGUAAGAGUACCAUCUUCGAACGUCAAAUGAAGAUGACAAUAAAAAUUUUAUUUUUGCAUCUAUUACUAAAAGAAAAAUUAUAUAUGUUUAAAUCUUCAAUGUAAAACCAGUUAUCAAAAAUUUUAAGUGUAAAACUAGUUUUGACAAAAUCUAACGAAAUAGACUUCGAAAAAUCGACCUGUUAUCUUAGGUAAAUCUAUCAGUGCAUUACUUAAUGUGUUACUUAAAGAGAAAUUAUACUGACGCACCUGUAGCAGUGCCUUACUUUCUAGAGAAAGUUUGUAACAUUAUCUUGCUAAUAGUUUAAUUUUAGAUUGAAAAAGGCCUUACAUGUAUGAUAUACGUUGAUAUUAAAAUGUAAAAGAAAGUUAACAAUGUUAAUACCUCAUACCUCUGUAUUUUUGCCCAAAAAUAAAAUUGAUUUUUAAAGCGUA
rnacentral:sRNA from 1 species